AGAAUCAACGCUGGCGGCGUGCCUAACACAUGCAAGUCGAACGAGAAAGUGGAGCAAUCCAUGAGUAAAGUGGCGACCGGGUGAGUAACACGUGACUACCUACCCUUGAGUGGGGGAUAACCUCGGGAAAACCGAGGCUAAUACCGCAUAAUAUCGAAAGAUCAAAGGAGUAAUCCGCUUUUGGAGGGGGUCGCGGCUGAUUAGCUAGUUGGUAGGGUAAUGGCCUACCAAGGCGAAGAUCGGUA
rnacentral:rRNA from 1 species